UAUCAUCUCUCCCUCCCACGACUUCUCUCUCCCAGCCAGGACAUCCCCACGCCGCCGCACCAACUCCCCAUCCCCACUCGCCGCCCCACCACCUCCUCCCACCCAACACGUCGAAGGACCAUCUCCUCCAUCCCGCACCGUGGCACCACCUUCUCUGCCUAGCGUCGCCGCACCACCUUCUCCCCCGUGCCGCCGCACAACCUCCCCCCCGGCGUCGCUGGACCACCUCCACCCUCGCGCGCGUCGCACCACAUCCUUCCCCGCAACCAGCCACGCCGGCCACCUUCCUACGGCGUCCUCGCACAGGCACCAGCACCCCGAGCCCGGAUCUGUGUGGUGGUGCCCCUUUCUCGCCGAUGGAUUCAAACAACCCUUGAUCGGUGCCACGCUAGCUCCCUCCCCAAUCCCAUCGCGUCGCCCGGGUCGGGCUCCUUGCGGUGCCCCUCUUGAACGCCGGGCGGCAGGAUCCCUGGCUCCACCCGGCACUGCAAUCUCCUCAGUGCCGCCCGACAGCUCCGAUAGAGCCCCCACCCCCGACCCAUGCUAUUGGGUCUGGUGACCCCGGCCAUGCAUCCAUGGAUCCCGCGCUGGAUCCGAGUUCAAGCUUUCACUAAGAUCCGCUGUGGUUCUCUUCUUCGCAACAACGGAAGAUGCAGUGUGGCUAGAGCAAGGUUGAAGUUCAGGACAUUUUUUGUUGCUUUUUCAUAUUUCACGGGGCGUCCGUCAGCGAGCUCUCCCCCAACGCGUCGUGCAGCUUGCUGAUCCACAUCAUGCGGUUCACCGGCCAUGUGAGUGCAGUGCAGUUGACCCCUCGUGUGUGACGUGUGCGGCGUGCAGCUCGGAGCAAGCGAGCAUACAGUUUAGUCUGUUGUUCGUGGUUUUUUGGCGUGUUUAUCGAACGAAUCUGGUUGGGAUAUGAUAUAUUGUGUGUAAACAAAAUGUUGAGAAGUUCAUUCCAACAAGCUUAAUGAUUCGUUUUCAAAAGGGAAAAAUGGAUUGGUGCAGCCCA